rnacentral:rRNA from 1 species
AUGGCAUGCCAGGGCACGCGCAUGGAAGCCAGUCAAAGGCCAGCUGAGGAAGCACGAUCGGACCCGCGCGCAUCAACUCACUCGGUGGCCUUGUUGGCGGCGGCGGCAGCAGCUGGUGCCUCUGCCGGCACCGCCUCGGCGGCCGUGGGUGCCUCCACAGGUGCCUCGGCCGGUGCCUCUGCUGCCGGCUCUUUGACCUCCGCCUCUGCCUCGCCAGCAGCAGAUGGUGCUUCUGUCUCUACCGGUGCUGCCUCGACGGCGACGGCAACCUCCACAGGUGCCUCGGCAGUUGCUGCUUCCUCCUGCACUGCCACAACGGCCUCGGGGGCAGCUGCCUCCUCCACGGCCGGGGUCUCCUCUGCCACCGGCUCUUUGGCCUCGGCCUCGGCAGCGGCUGGCUCUGCCACUUUGGUCUCGGUCUCGGCCGGAGCAGCUUCUUGCUCUGGUUCCUUGGUCUCGACCUCGGCCGGUGCUGCCUCACGCUCCACCACUUCGGUCUCUGUUCCCUCGGCAGCGGCAGCUUCCGGCUCUUUGCUCCCGGUCACUGCUGGCACAGCAGGAGCCUCCUCGGCGGCGGCGGCCGGCUGGACAGCCUCGGGCUCGGCCACUUUGGCCUCUGUCUCGGCCUCCUUGGUCUCCGCUGGAACUGCCUCAGGCUCUUUCGCCAGCUCGGUCACGGCCGGUGCAGCAGCCUCCUCCUUCGCGGCCUCCUCGGCAGCGACAACGGCCGGCUCGACAGCCUCAACCGCUGCCACCUCGACCGUGGCGACAGCCGGCUCGACAAUCUCCACCGCUGCCACCGUAGUCUCCUCAACCGCGACGACGGCCGGCUCGACAGCCUCCACCGCCACCGUAGUUUCCUCAACCGCGACGACGGCCGGCUCGACAGCCUCCACCGCCACUGUAGUCUCCUCGACAACGACGACGGCCGGCUCGACUGCCUCCACCACCGCCGGCGCCGGAGCCGGAGCCUCCUCGACGGGCAUCGCGUGGGUUGCGGCUUGUACCUGCGUUUACAUCGAUGCACAUCAUCAUGUCAUGUCAGAUAAACACCAGUACGCAGCGUACGUGCGAUCAGGUUGCUCAUGCGCAAAGCUGGCCGAUGGUGCCACAAGUCGAGGUGGCACCGUGGCAGCAGCCAGCAGAUCAAAAGCUACAUGA